UCCGAGUGACCCCGGAAGCCUCGCCUCGCCUCGUCAUACUCUUCCCCCAGCUGAUGAUCACUCAACUUCCUGCUGUCUUUCUCCAUGACCGCUCGCUCGGCGUCGACUACGGUGCACGAUUUGGUCGCUCGGGGGGGUUUUCAUCUCCACGUGACACGAGGACGACCCCUGUUUUGUCAUCUUCUAGCAGCUGGAUGUGGAGAGAUCUCUUUGCUGCGACGCCUCUUCCUGCUCUUUUAAGGAAUACCAAAGGAAGUGAUCAUCAGGGAGAACAACAGAAAAAAAGCCCUGUUUACUGUGGAUGUUAUUUUUAUUACUCGUGUUAAGAGGGAGUUCAAGCUGUUGUUGAAGCACCUCUUCAGGCAAUAUGCCCUCAAACCAGGUUACUAACUGGGGCCCGACCCUGACCUUUGACCUGCAUGUGAAGGGAGCAGCGGAGACAACAACGGUUCAUAUGAGGAAACCGCAAGACGUUUUACUGAAAUUUGUGCCAAAACUUGCAACUUUACAUUAAUAAACGUAUUUAAUAAAAGAAUAUUAAAGGUAACAUUGUAGAACAAAGUAUUCAGAUCCCUUUUCACAAGUAAAAGCAUAAAUACCAUAAUCACUAAAAGUACUGCACUGAAAGUGAGAAUUCUUCAUUCAAAAACUAAUUACGAGCAAAUUCUAAUUGAAGAACUGAAGUUAAGUGAUGGCAAGAGUAUUGAUAUUAUUAAUGAACUAUAUUAAUACUACAAAAUAAAAAAUACUGUAUAACAAGCAAAGGUCUCUCAAUCAAGGUUUUUAAAGUGGGAGUAUUAGGAGCACAGUUUACAUCAAGUGUAAGUAAAAGUACACUACUGUACUUAAGUACUGCAUGUUCACAGUUUUUAACAGCUUAAUUUACUUUUGAGUACUUUUAUAUGUAACAAUGCAUCCUUCCUACCACAAGUAAAGCCGUCAAAUAAGUGUAGAAUUAAAAAUGUAUAUAUUUUGUGUGAAUUGUAGUGGAAUAGAAAUAUAAAGCACCAUAGACUGGA